AUUGAACGCUGGCGGCAUGCCUUACACAUGCAAGUCGAACGGUAACAGGUUAAGCUGACGAGUGGCGAACGGGUGAGUAAUAUAUCGGAACGUGCCCAGUCGUGGGGGAUAACGUAGCGAAAGCUACGCUAAUACCGCAUACGAUCUACGGAUGAAAGCGGGGGAUCGCAAGACCUCGCGCGAUUGGAGCGGCCGAUAUCAGAUUAGGUUGUUGGUGAGGUAAAAGCUCACCAAGCCUGCGAUCUGUAGCUGGUCUGAGAGGACGACCAGCCACACUGGAACUGAGACACGGUCCAGACUCCUACGGGAGGCAGCAGUAAGGAAUAUUGGACAAUGGACGCAAGUCUGAUCCAGCCAUGCCGCGUGAAGGAUUAAGGUCCUCUGGAUUGUAAACUUCUUUUAUAAGGGACGAAAAAAGGCUUUUCUAAGUCGUCUGACGGUACCUUAUGAAUAAGCACCGGCUAACUCCGUGCCAGCAGCCGCCGUAA
rnacentral:rRNA from 1 species